CGAAGGCUCGUCCAACAAGCUGUGUGUGGCGCAAGGCUACUCGUCCAAUCGUCCUUGAAUGAAUUCGUAGAAACGGCGAAGGGUUUGGACUUUUGGACUCCGCCCCGCCGACGCCGAGCCCCGAUGGGGAUGGGAUCCCAUGAAUGCAGUGCAGGUAGCUUUCGACGAUAUGAACAGGUCUGAUCCCUGGAGCCCAGGGGCUCCAUGCCACCCAUCAAGGGAUCCCUCCAACGGCGCGUGAGAUCGAUUCAUCGUAUAUAUGCCUAUCGAGGAGCAGGAGUACGAAGCAAUCAGAGAGGGGACUGGCCGGGCUCUCAGAUGAUGGCGACCAUUCAGUGCUACACUGAAAAAUCGAUAAUGAACGUCCAACCGAUCCACGGUCCAUGCACCGCCACAUGCGAUGGCAGCAGGUUUGCUAACAUCUAGUUACGUGUUAAAGGUCAUUAAUAAAGUAUACGUAUAUAUAUAGAUGAUAAAAUACUCUGUCAGUUCUCCCUUCUUAUUUGCAAAUUCAGAGUUGGAAAUUCAGCGGAAUUGGUCUCAACACGGACCACGUGCUGGAUGUCCUUAAUCUAACAGCGGCAGGCUGGAGUCAGAACCAAUGCUCAUGGUGAGAUCCCGCCGUCAUGGAGGCUACCGUCCAAGCGGAUGACUCAUGGUACCCAGCUCCACAAGAUGUUUGACACUAGGGUGCGAUGACCUCAAGCUGCAGGCAGCAGCAGCCCUAGGCCCUAUGUCAUGUGGCCUGCGUGAAUCGCUGGUCACGUUGAGAGACUUGCUAAUUAGAUGAGAUGCGCCUUGUGCUGCAAUGAACCUCAAAGAAGAACAACUCAUAGCCUCAAGUGAGUCAGAAACUCACUUACCUUUUGUUUAGGGAAAUAAACUAUCUUGAGUUUUCAUGGACAAGAACCCAACGCAAUUCUUGAGUUGUCAGAAACUCAGAACUGCCUGUGUUUUGACUACGAAUGAUUCACUCCUUACCUUUUGUUUAGAGAAA